rnacentral:rRNA from 1 species
UUGAACGCUGGCGGCAUGCUUUACACAUGCAAGUCGAACGGCAGCGGGGGCUUCGGCCUGCCGGCGAGUGGCGAACGGGUGAGUAAUGCAUCGGAACGUACCCAGUCGUGGGGGAUAACUACGCGAAAGCGUAGCUAAUACCGCAUACGUCCUGAGGGAGAAAGCGGGGGAUCUUCGGACCUCGCGCGAUUGGAGCGGCCGAUGUCGGAUUAGCUAGUAGGUGAGGUAAAGGCUCACCUAGGCGACGAUCCGUAGCGGGUCUGAGAGGAUGAUCCGCCACACUGGGACUGAGACACGGCCCAGACUCCUACGGGAGGCAGCAGUGGGGAAUUUUGGACAAUGGGCGCAAGCCUGAUCCAGCCAUGCCGCGUGAGUGAAGAAGGCCUUCGGGUUGUAAAGCUCUUUCGGCCGGGAAGAAACGGUGAGCUCUAACAUAGCUUGCUAAUGACGGUACCUGAAGAAGAAGCACCGGCUAACUACGU